rnacentral:miRNA from 1 species
AAAGUGCUUCCACUUUGUGUGC